UCUCCCUCUGCGCCGGGCACGGCGGGCGCUACCCCAUGGGCGAGGUGGCGAGGGCAGAAAAUCCUUGGGGCGGCGGCGAGCGGGGGCGAGGACCCAGCUGCAGCCUCUGGGGCGUCUCCGGAAAGUUUAGCGCCUGAGGGAGUGAACUCUGGAGCUGACCUUCCUGGUCUCUAAGCCAUGUGUCCCCGGUGGGAUUUGGCUGUUCACAGUUCUUGGUUUAGCAUCUUUUUCUGGAAACAACCAAGGGAGGCAGGCCAGACAAAGCAUGGGACAGACCUGAAUAUGGAGGAGUAGAAUGCAUCAAGAAAGAGGACGAAGAUCCAGGGAGACAAAACCUAACUAAUGAAGCUUGAAGAGGACGGGACGCUCAGGGUUGGAAGGAUGAACUUCUGGAGGAGAUGCCAUCACAAACCUCCUGGGACCAGAACAGGCCUCGCCACAAGAGCUACACCUAUGACCUUUGCCUUGUUUUUAAUGCUAAGAUCUCUCCAGGAGCGGCUCAGGCCUUAUUACCAUCACCUGCAGUGUGUGUGGAAGCAUGUUUUCCAUCUGCGCCUGUGCAAGAGGAUACUCACCUCUCCCUUUUGAACAUUCAUUCCCCAUCUGAAAUAAAUGUCCCUCCUUCCCUUUCUUUGGGGACACUAUGACUCUGGAAAUGAUUCCUCAUGGUCUCCUAUU